CUCUUCAUCUUCUUCAUCUUCUUAAUCUUCAUCUCCUUCUUCAUACUUUUCAUCUCUCUGUUCACCUUCAAGCUCCACCAAACAUGGGCGACGGCAAGGUAUCCGCGACGCUCUCUUCUCCUCCAAGCCCUCCGAUUCCAAAGGUAUGAUCUCUUCACCAAACCCUAAUAAGCCCAAAGAAAGCUUCGGGACUACUCUCUCACUCUCAACUCGAUCUUACGCUGUCACUCUCAACUCCCAUCUCUCAACCCUGGAAGAGCUCAGAUCCCCGCCGUCACCAGCACCGUCCUCGCUGCGCCAUUAGCCUCCCCUCUGCCUCGUCUCCCCUUCGUCACUAGGGUCGCCCUCCUCGCCGAUCUCCUCUGCAUCGUCAGUGUCGUCUCUCUCUCUGCUCCCAACGCUAACUGCAAUGGCUGACGAUGAACCCGUUGAUCAAAAGAGAUACCUCGAAGACUCUUGCAAACCAAAGUGUGUCAAACCAUUACUUGAAUAUCAGAGGGUUGCCAUGGCGAUUUCUCCAUCUGGUAUAAACCCGGCAGUUGGCUCAAAACUCUCUCCUGGUUCUCCAGAGUCUCUUACACUAGCCAACUGGAUCUGCUGCAGUUAUAGUUAUUAUUUGGGGGCAGAGUUGCUGAGAUUUGAUUCUCUCAUUGGUGAGUCAGUGCUUAAACAUUUGUGGCAUCAUCAGGAUGCCAUUUUGUGCUGUUCUUUGAAGUCGGUGCCGGUGUUUAUCUUUGCAAACCAGGCUGGCCUUGACAUGUUGGAAACAACUUUGGUGGCUUUACAAGACAUCACAUGGGUAUUUAGAGGAAGUGCCUUGUAUUAACUCCAUCUUGUGAAGGCAGAGAAAGCUAGAAGAUACAUUCCAAAAGAAUUCAAAUAGGUUGAAGCUUUUGGUGUUUCUCCGCGAGCCCAGAGCCACUACUAGACCCUGUUUUACUGUGCAC